CACUCAUUCCUCACCCUCAAAAGGCCAGCUGCCUGUGUGGCACUGCAAUGACAGCCUGGGAGAGAGGCGCCACACACGAGCAAGGCUCCAGCCUGAGAUCCCGGACUAGAGGGGGAAGCCCUAGGCAGUACUGGCUUGUAUCACCUUUUGAAAACAUCAUCUUAGGAAAGAGUUCGCUCAAGUACAAGAGGCCCUGAACUGGACAGCAGCCAGCAACGCGCCAGCAUCCUAAAGUAUCUCACAGCCCCGAGUCCAGUGCUCAAGGAGAUGCGGAGAGACCGACAAGAACCAGUGGGCACAGGGCAGCUCACUCCCCUGGGAGGGCGUGUCUGGCAAUCGGCACGCCACCAGCUGCAGGAAGAUGCCCACAGUCAAAAUAGCAACUGACGUGGGGACACAUGAAGGAGAGGGAGCUAAAAUAAGCACACAAUCCUCCCUGGUGACAUCCAGAAACACCACCUCCCCUCGGUCCUUGGGGACACCUUCCUGUGGGGACACGCUUCCCACUUUGUGGGCUUUAUGCUGCCACCAGGUGGGCUUCCCAUGUGUCCCAUUACAGCACAGGUUCUUAAAAGGCCAUGUCACGUCCUCAUGCAUUUUCAAAUAUGUUCCUGUAAAACCCUGGGAGGUGUUCCGCUCCACAAAUCAAAGGAUGUACGUGUCAUCCAAAAUUGCAAGUAGAAAAAUUAAGUUAAUGGGCUGAAUUCUCAAUUUUAAGUUCUCUCAUACAUUUUUUUUCAAAUUCUUUGAUGUCUCCUACUACUUGCCUAAGAGCAACCACAAAAUAAAUAAACAAGUAGCAAAUAAACCUUGAAGGAAAACUCAGCUUGCUGUUUGACAGAUAUAUGUGCUUGGGAAUAUGAUUUCAUAUUGUUUAUAGCAACCAAAUAUAGAGCUACGUGUCCCUCAAGAUUAAUCUGUUGAAAUCCUAAUCCCCACUGUGAUGGUAUUUGGAGGUGGGGCCUUCAGGGGGUGAUUAGGUUAUGAAGGUGGGACCCUCACGACGGGAUUAGUGCCUUUUACAGAAGAGACGUAGAGCUUGCUUCUGCUCUCUGCUCUCCUCCGAGGAAGGACACAGGAAGAAGGCGGCUGUCUGCAAACCAGGAAGGAAGCCCUAACCAGGAACUGAAGCUGCCAGCUACUUGCCCUUGGAUUUCCCAGCCUCCAGAAUCAUGAGAAAUACAUGUUUGUUGUUUAAGCAAGCCACUCAGUCUACAGUAUUCUGUUACCACAGCCUGAUCUAAGACCUAUAGGAAGACAGAUAGUAAGAGCCACCUUUAUAUUUACGAAUGAUAUAAAUAUAUAUACACACACACAUAUACACGCCUAUGUAUAUAGGUAUACAUGUAUAUAUACACACGUACA